rnacentral:rRNA from 1 species
GGUGGAUGAGUGGCGAACGGGUGAGUAACACGUGAGUAACCUGCCCAUCACUCUGGGAUAAGCGCUGGAAACGGCGUCUAAUACUGGAUACGAGCAGCGACCGCAUGGUCAGCUGCUGGAAAGACUGGUUCGGUGAUGGAUGGACUCGCGGCCUAUCAGCUUGUUGGUGAGGUAAUGGCUCACCAAGGCGACGACGGGUAGCCGGCCUGAGAGGGUGACCGGCCACACUGGGACUGAGACACGGCCCAGACUCCUACGGGAGGCAGCAGUGGGGAAUAUUGCACAAUGGGCGCAAGCCUGAUGCAGCAACGCCGCGUGAGGGAUGACGGCCUUCGGGUUGUAAACCUCUUUUAGUAGGGAAGAAGCCUUCGGGUGACGGUACCUGCAGAAAAAGCACCGGCUAACUACGUGCCAGCAGCCGCGGUAAUACGUAGGGUGCAAGCGUUGUCCGGAAUUAUUGGGCGUAAAGAGCUCGUAGGCGGCUUGUCGCGUCUGCUGUGAAAACCCGAGGCUCAACCUCGGGCCUGCAGUGGGUACGGGCAAGCUAGAGUGCGGUAGGGGAGAUUGGAAUUCCUGGUGUAGCGGUGGAAUGCGCAGAUAUCAGGAGGAACACCGAUGGCGAAGGCAGAUCUCUGGGCCGUAACUGACGCU